GUCUAUGGCCAUGCCACCCUGAACACGCCUGGUCUCGGAAGCUAAGUAGGGUCAGGCCUGGUUAGUACUUGAAUGGGAGACCACCUAAGAAUACCAGGUGCUUGUAGGCU
rnacentral:rRNA from 1 species